CCAGCAUGCUUGGCAGCAAUUCAUUCUGGCCUUCUUAAGAAUGGAGUUCAAUCAUUUAUAAUGGAAAAAAACACAGCUGAAAGAAAAUUUGUUAUGAGGACAGCUAUUGAAGAAAUACCUGAAAAUAAGACAGAAGUAUCAGAAGUUGAAGUUGACUGCACUACAAAAGUAAAUCAGAUUCCCGAUGGAAUUGUGAAGGUGACAUGUCCAGAGCAGUGCAACAUGGAUGAAAAAUUGCUGGGCACAGAUGGAUAUACUGGUG